rnacentral:rRNA from 1 species
UACGUAGGGUGCGAGCGUUAAUCGGAAUUACUGGGCGUAAAGCGUGCGCAGGCGGUUUUGUAAGCCAGGGGGGAAAUCCCCGGGCUCAACCUGGGAAUGGCAGUGGAUACUGGCAAGCUAGAGUGCGGUAGAGGGUAGUGGAAUUCCCGGUGUAGCAGUGAAAUGCGUAGAGAUCGGGAGGAACACCAGUGGCGAAGGCGGCUACCUGGACCAGCACUGACACUGAAGCACGAAAGCGUGGGGAGCAAACAGG